rnacentral:piRNA from 1 species
GAAACAGACACAGGUGAAAGGCUGCAC